AUAAAUACGCCUCCACCUGUGCCAUCAAUCUCGCAGAUCUCUCUCACCCCAAAGACAACAGAAAACCUUCUUCACGCGCGCACGCACCAAAAUCACCUUCGAUCUCAUCACCGGGGAAGGGGGAUGGCCGCCGAGGAGGGAGCCGUGAUAGCGUGCCACACCAAGCAAGAGUUCGACACCCACAUGGCUAAUGGCAAGGAGACCGGCAAGCUGGUGAUCAUUGACUUCACUGCUUCCUGGUGCGGUCCUUGUCGUGUCAUAGCCCCAGUCUUUGCUGAGUACGCCAAGAAGUUCCCUGGCGCCAUUUUCCUGAAGGUGGACGUUGACGAGCUGAAGGACGUCGCUGAAGCAUACAACGUUGAGGCAAUGCCGACCUUCCUGUUUAUCAAGGAUGGUGCGAAGGUGGACACUGUUGUCGGUGGCAGGAAGGAUGAUAUCCAUACCAAGAUAGUGGCCCUCAUGGGUUCUGCAUCUGCCUAAGAAGGGAAGAGUGAUGCCCCUCUUGUGUCAAUAAGAGCCAGCACCUGGUGUAAGUAGUUAUCGCUGCAGUAUGCUUUGGCUUAGUCGUGACUGAACUUUGUGAUGAUUCGGUUUAGAGUUCAGAACUUCAGACAUUUGCACCGGUUGUUCUGAAUUACAGUACCUAAUGUUUUGCUACAGUUGCUUCGUUGUGAAGUUUGGAUAACUAUCCUGUCUGAAUGUUAAUGCAAAGCCAAUAUGCCGCUGACCUUAUUUAUCUUAACUGUAUGCUGAUUGCUGAGCAUAUCACUGCAUCUUCAAGCCGCAGCACAUGCACAUCGAAGUUUCUUUCCGAUGGUUAGUUUUUUUGAAGAAAAAGCAGCAGAUUGCUGAUUCUCAUUGAUGAAGUGGUAGAAGAGAACAG
rnacentral:rRNA from 1 species